rnacentral:lncRNA from 1 species
UGUAAACUGAUUAUAUGGCAAAUACAGAGGCGUGGACUUAGCUGAUGGUGACUGCGAGGCCUCUGUCUGUGAUGUAGAAGGACCUGGUUGCUGAUUUUCAUGCAUUUUCACAUCACUGUGGUCUGUCACUUUGGAUAAGAUCCUAUCAAUGGUUUUGUAGUAAGGCCAGUCAGGUGCAACAGUUUCACUGUCAGUCAUGCAUUUUAAUUUCCUGUACUGGAAUGUCAUAUUUGUAAUUUUUAUCUUUAUUUCCUCUCCG